UACGUAGGUGGCAAGCGUUGUCCGGAAUUACUGGGCGUAAAGCGCGCGCAGGCGGCGAUCUACGUCUGGGGUGAAAGCCCGGGGCUCAACCUCGGGACUGCCUUGGAUACGGGAUCGCUUGAGGAUCGGAGAGGCAAGGGGAAUUCCACGUGUAGCGGUGAAAUGCGUAGAGAUGUGGAGGAACACCUGUGGCGAAGGCGCCUUGCUGGCCGAUUUCUGACGCUGAGGCGCGAAAGCGUGGGGAGCAAACAGGAUUAGAAACCCCUGUAGUCC
rnacentral:rRNA from 1 species